AAAACUCUCCUCACUACUCACUUCAUGAUUUAGAAACCUCUUAUCUCUUCCAAUUUACUUUUCCAGAUUUACUGAUCUCACUCUCCCUAUAAGAACUCUAUGUUCCAGGCCUUUAGAGGUAAUCUGGGUUUCUGCAAAUCCGUACCGUGCAGUUGACCUUUAUAUAAAUGCCAUUUCCCGUCCCUGAAAGUUCCUCCCCUUGAAUUCUUCUCCAUGCUAAACACGUGGCCCAUCAUUUCCUCCAGGAUGACCAGCUCCAGUGAGGAAGGAUGCUGCGCUCCUCUGCAAUCCCACAGCACUGUUUAUAUUUAUACUGUAUGAUAAUUAUUUGUGAUGUCUCCUGUGUUCUACAAUAGUGUAAGUUCCUCAAUGGCACAGACCACAUGCACUUCAGCUGAGGACUGCACACACCGCUCAGCAAUGCUUUGCAGGAGCCCAGCAUCAUGGGACACUUUAGGAAGUUCACUGAAACUACAGAUAAUUUGUCAUUGGG
rnacentral:lncRNA from 1 species